rnacentral:rRNA from 1 species
GACAGAGGUGCCGAGCGUUAGGCGGAAUCACUGGGCUUAAAGCGUGUGUAGGCGGACUUCUAAGUACCUUGUGAAAUCCCCCGGCUCAACCGGGGAACGGCUGGGUAUACUGGGAGUCUUGAGCCAGCUAGGGGUCGCCGGAACAAGUGGUGGAGCGGUGAAAUGCGUAGAUAUCACUUGGAACGCCAAUGGUGAAAACAGGCGACUGGGGCUGUGCUGACGCUGAGACACGAAAGCCAGGGGAGCGAACGGG